UACAGAGGUCUCAAGCGUUGUUCGGAUUCAUUGGGCGUAAAGGGUGCGUAGGCGGCUUGUCGCGUCGGCUGUGAAAACCUGGGGCUCAACCCCGGGCCUGCAGCCGAUACGGGCAAGCGUAGAAUUCGGUGAGGGGAGACUGGAAUUCCUGGUGUAGCGGUGAAAUGCGCAGAUAUCAGGAGGAACACCGGUGGCGAAGGCGGGUCUCUGGGCCGAAAUUGACGCUGAGGAGCGAAAGCGUGGGGAGCAAACAGG
rnacentral:rRNA from 1 species